rnacentral:rRNA from 1 species
UACGUAGGGUGCAAGCGUUUGUCCGGAAUUAUUGGGCGUAAAGAGCUCGUAGGCGGUUUGUUGCGUCGGCUGUGAAAUCCCGAGGCUCAACCUCGGGUCUGCAGUCGAUACGAGCAAACUAGAGUGUUGCAGGGGAGACUGGAAUUCCUGGUGUAGCGGUGAAAUGCGCAGAUAUCAGGAGGAACACCGGUGGCGAAGGCGGGUCUCUGGGCAACAACUGACGCUGGAGGAAGCGAAAGCGUUGGGGGAGCGAACAGG